rnacentral:lncRNA from 1 species
UCUCUUUAUGGAGGAAUUGUGAUCUCUUUAUUCCAAUGAUCAGGAAGAGAUACAAUACCUGUUAAGAGUUGCCUAAGUCAUAAAUUAACUUCGGAUUAGUGCUUACACUACUACCUAGAUCUCCUCGACCCAUGCUAAUAGCUAGGAAGAUCAUAUGUCUGCAAACCUCUUGUAUAAAAUGUGGAUGCAGAAACCUAAGUUUCCUUGAAAUGUUUUGUCUGCUUUUCAUUUAUGGGAGAUAUGGCAAGUUCAUUAUGCGAUGAUCUUUCAAAGUACUUGUCCUAAAAAAUUGUUUAUUGAUAGGGUGCUUUCAGCAAUGAGAGAAUUCUUUGGCCUUUCCUUAGCUGUCAGACAAAUAAAUCUCCUCGUUUUGUUCCAGUUACCUAGAAACCGCCUCUUGUGGACAAGUUCAAACUCGAUAACUCCGGCAAAGCGGGAGCGAGAGUCCUCAUAAGAAACCACAAGGGGAAUUGGAUGAUAGGAUCUCAUCGUCAUAUUCCUAGAGCCACUACUGUUGAAAUUCUAGACCCUUAGAGACUACCUUGGAAUAGAUAGAGAUCUUAAUGUGUAGCUAAUCUUAUGAUAGAAGUGGAUGCCACUGUCUUCAUUCAAUUUGCCUUAUGAUAAAGUUUUUAAUAUUAUAUAUUCACCUUUGAUUGAUGAAUGCAAGAUACUUCUUCAUAAUAUGACUUUUAGGUCCUUGAAGCAUGUGUUUCGAGAAGGCAACAAGUGUGCCGAUUGCUUUUUAAUAGAGAUACUAAUAUUAUAUUGUCACCUUUGAUUGAUGAAGACGAUAUUCCUUCUCAAGAUGACUUUGAAAUCCUUGAAGCAUGUGUUCUGAGAAGGCAACAAAUGUGCUGAUGCUUCGGCCGUACUAAAGAGUUUUUUACAUCCUAUUCCUCCCUAGAAGAAUGAUGUUUCAUGGCGAAGUUUUUUCUUUUGCCUAAUUCUCCUACUUUUAUGUGAUAUGCAACGACGCACUAUGCUUCGAACAGUUUUUUAUCUUUUAAUAAAGCUUAAUUCCUUUUUCGAAAAUAAAAAAUGUUUUCUAAUAAAAUUUAAUUUAUUAAAAUAUUUAAAUACCGAGGUUAAAGUUCAAAAAAUUUGACUUAGAAAAUGUCAGCUGCUACAUUUUUAUUGAGACAAAAUUAUAUGAUAAUUUGGAUGUAAAUCGUGAAGUGAAUAAAACAUAAUCAAUUAACUGAAUCCUAGUUCAGGUCGGGUAACCAAACUUAGAAUAGUGGCUUCCAAGUUAUAUUAAUUUUAUAAAUGAUUAUUUUCGAAUAACAUUGAAAUUAGAAGUCUGGUCAAAAUUGAUAAUGCAUGAGAAGACAAGAGAAGAGAGCAAACUUCCUACCUUGAUAAAUAAAUAUAUAUUAUUGUAGUAACUAUAUAUAACAGUAAGUAGUAGUAUUCUAUGAUAGCUUUAACCUACCUAACAAUAGAAGAUAUCAUCUUUGAUUGUCAUCUGAAAUGGUAUUGUUUAAGGAUUCUGCUUCCUCUUGUGUUUGUCAUGUUUGCAGAAGUUUCCCUCCACCACCACCACCUACAAGCUAAGCUUUGCUUUUGCUUUGCCCAACCAGUGGCCUUGUAAAUACCAUCCAUUAGCUUCC